rnacentral:rRNA from 10 species
CACUAUGGCCAUAUUACUCUGAAUGUGCCUGAUGUCAUCUGAUCUCGGAAGUUAAGCAGAAUCAGGCCUGGUUAGUACUUGGAUGGAAGUUAUGAUAA